GUGACCAACAGCCCCAGAUGACUGGCCUAGUCGCAGAUGAGGAAGGCUGAGACUGGGAGCUCUUUAAGAAAACACAGCAGCGGGCUAGCCCUGGCUAUCCUGGAACUUGCUCUGUGGACCAGGCUGGCCUCAAACUCACAGAGAUCCACCUGCCUCUGCCUCCUGAGUGCUGGGAUUAAAGGUGUGCCUGGCUAUGCACCUCGAUAUUCUGUUCCACUUUCUGCAAGCAGUUCAGCAUCCUGAGAAUCACAGGACAGCCCCACUGCCAAGAUCAACCUAGACCAAGCCACCCCUGAUUCCUGUCCAGGGUCAGCAGGCCUGGCUUUCAGGGCUGGAGAGAUGUUUCAGUGAUCAAAAGGACUUCCAGAAGACCCAGGUUCAAUUCCCAGCACCUACACGGCAGCUUGCAACCAUCUGUAACUCCAGUCUCAGAGGGUCUGACACUUUCUUCUGACCUCUGAGGUCACCAGGCACACAUAUGGUGCACAGAUAUAUAUGUAUGCAAAAUACCCAUGCCCAUAAAAACAAUUUUUUUAAAAAAGAAAAGAGUUAAGAAGAAGAAGGGAAGAGAGAAAAGGGAGGGCAAGGAAAGGAGAAACAGGCUGUUUUGAAUCCUAGAACACAUUACAUUCGAAGGCCAGGGCAUCAGAUGAUGGGAAAGAGAAGUACAGGUAAAGGCUCAACUACAGGUAUGAGAAGGAGAAACAUAAAAAUCCAGGAAGAAAGGUGAGUUAUUCAAAUAUUAAUUCUAAAUACACAAUUAAGAUAGGGUUUGGGGACAACUGAAUUAACAAGCCAAUUGGAAAGUUUGGGUCCCUGCCUCCAUCCUUCACAUUAAAAUAAGUCUCCAAAGGACCAAAGGUUUAAGAAGUAAAAACAAAACAAUAAAGCUACUUUUUGAAAAAU